rnacentral:rRNA from 1 species
CCUACGGGAGGCAGCAGUGGGGAAUCUUGCGCAAUGGGCGAAAGCCUGACGCAGCGACGCCGCGUGAGUGAUGAAGGUCUUCGGAUCGUAAACCUCUGUUAGCAGGGACGAACGGUCACUGUGCUAAUCAGCCGUGAAUUGACGGUACCUGCCAAGGAAGCACCGGCUAACUCCGUGCCAGCAGCCGCGGUAAUACGGAGGGUGCGAGCGUUAAUCGGAAUUACUGGGCGUAAAGCGAUCGUAGGCGGUAUGUCAAGUCAAGGGUGAAAUCCCCGCGCUCAACGUGGGAACUGCCUUGUAAACGGGCAGACUGGAGUGGGUGAGAGGAUAGUGGAAUGCCAGGUGUAGGAGUGAAAUCCGUAGAUAUCUGGAGGAACAUCAGUGGCGAAGGCGACUAUCUGGCACAUAACUGACGCUGAGGAGCGAAAGCGUGGGUAGCAAACAGGAUUAGAUACCCCAGUAGUC